GUUUUAUAAAUUACAAAGAGAGAAAAUAAUUUUCUAUUUGAUCAUAAGGGGGGUAAUAUGGCUGAAUUUGUCAAGUUUGUUUAUGUCAUGAUCAUCUUUAUUUUCCUAUGUCUUGUUGUAGAAAAUAUUGACGGUUUUAGAUGUCUUCGAAAUUUAGAUUGUCCGGACAGUAUGUGCUCAUCUGCUUAUACACCGAGGUGUAGGCACCGUACUUGUGUAUGUCUUAAUAACGACGAGAUAAAGAUUCUAUGAGUAUUUGACCCAAGAGAGCGCAUAAAAGGCUUACUAAAAUAUUUCAUAAGUUGCCAUUUUGUUAUUGUGUUGGCACCCAAUAAUAUGUUUGCAUUUUGUAAAUUUUGCGGACCUUAUAGUUAUGGAUUGUACUCUAAGAUGAUGGUAAUAGAAUGAAAUAAGUCAUCAAAAAGUGUUAUCUAAAUUGUUUUCUUCUCUCUUAAGGUCUGAUCCGGCGAACCAGGACUUGUAUUUUCUUUUGUGAUUAUAGAACCAAAUCUCA